CACGCACAAAGCCGAGGCGGGACGGGUGCCAGAGUGAGAGGAGCUCUCUGGCCGCUCGCCGGACGGCCCGUGACAGCUCGCAGAUGACAGGUUCCGGAACGGGAUAUGGGAUGCACAUCUGCGCUCGUCAUCUUCACGUUUCUUUUUCCAUACGUCGCUGUCCGUGAUGCGAGGUGUGUGUCCGGCGGACCACGGUCUCCUGCUCCCAGGACAGGCGAAGGCUCUCCACACCAUACCGACAGGUGUGUGGCCGCCGGA